rnacentral:lncRNA from 1 species
UAAUAUUUCCUUCUUGGUUACAUCUCUGAUCAAGAAGCAUUUAUACUCAGAGCUGAACAAGUAGCCCUGUUUUAUGACUGCCAUAUUAGGGCAAGGAAUUGAGUUUCUUGCAUAGCCCGCGAGGCUCCUAAAUACAGAGGUAAACUCCUUCUCUAUCUCUUUUGAGUCAGUAAGCUUGACACCUCCUUCCGUGCAAACUAAAUGUGUGGAUUUCUUUCUUUAUCUGAUUUUUAGUUGGCCAUGAAAAUAUUUUUUAUUUGAGUCACCACUGGAUAUCCAUGCAUCCCUAGAAUUUUUCCUGAGUACUUGUUCCUUAAUAGAUCCCCACUUGGUAAUCUAAAAAAGUAUCACUCUUUCUAACUCAAUUAAAUAUUGGUCAUGUGGUUAAUUGUUUAACUGAGAUUGCACAACUCCCAAUUUUUCUCUAUCCUACUGGAGCCUUUGAGCAUAAGAGGCAAGGUAUUCAGGUCCUUAAAUUCAUAUUUCAAUGCUUUCAAUCUAGCCCAGAGCUUUUGACCACAAUUGAUGCACAACACCAGAGAAGUCAAGGUGAUUUGUAACUAUAGAGUACAAUUUAAAAGGUUCUUGUUUCGUAUCAACAACAUUAUUAUACUCCAUAAUGAUUGGAGAAUGAUCUAAAAUGGCAGAGUUCAAGAAGUCUACCUCUAUAUAUCCAUAAUUUUGCAACCAAUGAAUGUUACUAAAGGACCAAUCAAUCUUGGAGUAAACUCGAGAGUUUAUGUCCUGCUUAUUAUAAAAGGUGUAGUUCCACCUGAUGUUGCAUUCUAAUAUUAUUAUUUUGCAUGAUUUUGGAGGUUAUGCAUCAUUAUGGUGACAUUACUCUUUCUGUUACAUUAUGAUUAGUGGCUUUAAGUUACACCAACUAUUGUAACUAUCGGUUUAGUGCCACUAUAUGCAGCAGUACAUAACUCCUCAUUCAUUGGUGUUUUUACUCUUUACUAUUGACAUUUUAGGAUGGCCAUUUAAGGCACAAGGACGUGUGCAGCAAUGCUCUUGACUGUUGAAAAGUAGUGGCUGAAUUUAGCCACUAUUUUUCUUGAAAUUCAUGUAACCACUAAUCCAUUAUCUUCCUCUUUAUGUCUAGUAACCUUUGUAACUCUUGUAACCUAUGUAACUCUUGUAACUUCUAUGCCAUUCAUCUACCACAUUUAUCUUCCUAUUCAUUGCAUGAAAGAUUUCUCACCUAUAAAUAGAGGUAGUCUUGCAUGAUAUUGGAAGACACAAGAUAAUAGAGAGUUCACAAAAAAAGUUAGUAAAAAAGAGAGUUUGCUAGUUGAAGGGAGGUGUUCUUUUUGUAGAGCUUUGAACUCAAAUCAUAUCCAGAGUUGUUGAGUUAUUGUGAGAAGGCUGUUGUAUCCUGGAG